UUACAGCCGUUCUACCGUAGCAUAUGGGCUUUGGGGCCAGACUCAGCUGUAUGACUCUCAGCUCUGCCCCUCGGGACUGGUGAGAACUCGGGCAAGGUCGCUUAUCUGCAAUGAGCCUCAGUUUCCUUACCUAGAAAAGGGGAAUGAUAAUCCUCUCCUCAGGGUUAUAGAAAAGAUGGUGGGAGAGAAUGUGUGUAAGAUGCUUGGGACACAGUGGGGACUCAAUGAGCACCGUCUCCUUUCCCUUUUGGUUUCUAUUUUCUUUCUGGUUAAAAUUCCCAAUUUUAUUGCUAUGCCUUUUCUUGCAAGUUGAUCUAAUUUCUUUGUGGAAAAAGUGUUGUGUAAAGAAAUAGCUAUAAAAUAGAUGGUCACUCGGUGUAAGUUUGUGGCACCUAUCGAUUUAUUCAUCUGUUUCCCUUCCAGCCCGGGGGCCCCAUGAGGACAAUAUCACCUCCAUUUCUCCGUGUCUGGGGCUUCCCGCUGGCCUCCAGAUGGCAUUGAGACUCCAUAACAUGACCCGCGAGACCUUCUGGAAGCUGACUGCUGCCCGCUGCCCUGUGUUACAGCACUAUGGACCAUCCUGCUUUGUCUUGAUCCAGGCAGGGGGUGGAGAAGGCAAGACGGAUGUCCAACUCCCCAUAUUCCAUCUCCUGAUUGGCUCAAGAGUGGACCUGUGACCAAAGUAGGGCCAAUGGGAUUCAACCCUGGGAUUUCUGCUGGAACAACUAGGAACACGAAACUGCUUUCCAGCUGUGAUUUCCGGCCGGAGGACGGGGCAAAUCCGGAGCUGCUAGUGCCACCAGCGGGAUCCUGACAGGAAGUGAGUGGGCAGAGGGAGAGCAGGAGGUUGAGUCUGGAUGACAUCCUAUGAGCUUCCGGAUCCACCAAAGCCCGGAGCCUGGACAACUUGGUUACCUAAGCCAAUUCCCUUUAUGGCUGUGGCAAAUAGUGAAACUCGGC